rnacentral:tRNA from 1 species
GGGGACGUAGCUUAAUGGCAGAGCCUGGGUUUUCCAAACCUAUGACGCGGGUUCGAUUCCCGUCGUCCCCU